CGCGAGACUAGAGUCACAUCCUGAUACUACUUGUUGUCUUGGUGUGCUAGAGUCCUCGCAGAGCAAACCUCUCUGCUUAUUCAUUGGCUGCUGCUUUCCAUUGCUCAGCCAAUCACCAGCUCUGAAACACCU
ensembl:snoRNA Small nucleolar RNA SNORA3/SNORA45 family